CCUGAGGGUUCUCCACUAACUAGGAGGUAACAGUGACAGCCAGUGAUAUGCCGCUGUUGCUUACUGCACCCGUGGAUCCUAUCUGCUGCAGGGCAAUUCAUGGCUCCUUAGACAUGAAUCCAGAGCAGCACUAGGUCACUAUUUUACACACAGUGAGCAAGGUUGUUUGCCAGCUCACUGGGGAUCAGCAUAAAGAUUAGCACACUUGAAUCCCCUUCUCCUACCCAGUCUACAACAGACACUCACUAACACAGCAGGAGGCAUGGGCCAGCACACCGUGUGUGUGAUCCCUCAGGCACAUCAAAUCACUGAGUGCCAGACCCAGAAAUGGUUUUGGGGUGCCUCUACCCUGCUCUGCCACUUCCAGCACAGACAUAUUCUAGGAAGAGCAAGACAAAGAAGGAAAGCAAAGAGACCCUGGAAGGAGAUCUGAAAACUCAAGGAGCUGUAGAAAACCCAAGAAGAAUGAAGCGAGUCAAAGGUACACUUUGGGCUUGAUGGAUGGGCUGUCACUGGUAGUAGCAACACUGUCAGCAUCACAGUAACCAGGAUGGAACAGACCACUACGAGAAGCUCCAAGUGUUAAUUUUGCAUUUUCAGUACACAGUAUUCAGCACUCAAACACGUCUUGAAAAAAUAAAAUAAACCAGGUCUAUUUCAA